CUGACACAGGGAGGUAGUGACAAUAAAUAACAUCGCAGGGCCUUUUCAGGUCUUGCGUUAGGAAUGAGAACAAUUUAAACCCCUUAUCGAGGAUCAAUUGGAGGGCAAGUCUGGUGCCAGCAGCCGCGGUAAUUCCAGCUCCAAUAGCGUAUACUAAAGUUGUUGCAGUUAAAAAGCUCGUAGUUGAAUUUCUGGAUGCGAAAGAUGGUCGGCACCUCACGGUGUCUGCACCUAUCAUUCGCGUUCAUCCUCGGGAGGAACGUGUGGUCUCUUUAGUGAGCCCGCUCGGGAAUCUCGUCAUUUACUGUGAGCAAAAUAGAGUGUUCAAAGCAGGCUUAUGCCGUUGAAUAUAUUAGCAUGGAAUAAUAAGAUACGACUUUGGUCUAUUUUGUUGGUUUGCAUUCCAAAGUAAUGAUUAAUAGGGAUAGUUGGGGGUAUUCGUAUUCAAUUGUCAGAGGUGAAAUUCUUGGAUUUAUGGAAGACGAACUACUGCG
rnacentral:rRNA from 1 species